rnacentral:misc_RNA from 1 species
GAUGAAGAACGUAGCAAAAUGCGAUAAGUAAUGUGAAUUGCAGAAUUCAGUGAAUCAUCGAAUCUUUAAACGCACAUUGCGCCCGCCAGUAUUCUGGCGGGCAUGCCUGUUCGAGCGUCAUUUCAACCCUCAAGCACAGCUUGGUGUUGGGACUCGCGUUAAUUCGCGUUCCCCAAAUUGAUUGGCGGUCACGUCGAGCUUCCAUAGCGUAGUAGUAAAACCCUCGUUACUGGUAAUCGUCGCGGCCACGCCGUUAAACCCCAACUUCUGAAUGUUGACCUCGGAUCAGGUAGGAAUACCCGCUGAACUUAAGCAUAUCAAUAAGCGGAGGA